rnacentral:lncRNA from 1 species
CUCAGCCCUAGGCUAGUGGUUGCUCCUCCUAUACUUCCUACUAGUCUGUGCCUGGUUACUCCACUUCCCUGUUGCAAUUAACACUUCUUUAUAUACAUGUUUCCUGUUCAAAUGACUGUGUAGCUUCUCUUUCCUAAUUAGACUCUGACCAAUACACUAUCAUUUGCCAACAACUCCCAAAGUUUUAUCAAUGACUCAGACCUCUAACCUGAACUCCAGCUGCCUCCAUGACAUAUCCAUUUGGAUAUUUAAUAGACAUUUCCAAAGUGAUGUGCCAAACAGAACUCAGGAUCUUCCCUCUCAAACCAACUGCUCAGCAGUCUUAUAAUCUCAGUUGAUGGCAAUUCCAUCCAUAAAGAUGAUUAGUCAAAAUGCCUCCCACACACCUUUGUCUAUUCGCUUUUUCUAUCCUCC